AGAACGAACGCUGGCGGCAUGCCUAAUACAUGCAAGUCGAACGAACACUUCGGUGUUAGUGGCGCACGGGUGCGUAACGCGUGGGAAUCUGCCCUUGGGUUCGGAAUAACAGUUGGAAACGACUGCUAAUACCGGAUGAUGACGAAAGUCCAAAGAUUUAUCGCCCAGGGAUGAGCCCGCGUAGGAUUAGCUAGUUGGUGAGGUAAAGGCUCACCAAGGCGACGAUCCUUAGCUGGUCUGAGAGGAUGAUCAGCCACACUGGGACUGAGACACGGCCCAGACUCCUACGGGAGCAGCAGUAGGGAAUAUUGGACAAGUGGGACGCAAGCCUAGAUCCAGCAAUGCCGCGUGAGUGAUGAAGG
rnacentral:rRNA from 1 species